CACGUCCAAAAAGAAGGAACGGACACCUCGCCAAUCAGGGUACUAUGUGAGCAGAUGCCAGGACUUGACGUAAACAUCUUGGAGACCUCAUCAAACCCGGCACCUCCGAGUCCACAUCAUCCACCUCCGCAAAGCACUUGCCAAGCUGGUGUGUUUGUACCAACUGUAGGGAGAUGCCAACACAACAGAAGAGGUCAUGCUGCAAACAAAGGCCGGAUGAAUGCUUCUCAAACUUGGCAAUCUUGAGGCACCUUGUUGUGGACCACCACUAGAGUUGGCACGACAUCAUCGGAAUGACAUGUACACCAGGGGAGCAUGAUGUGCACAACAAAUGACUUUGCCACCCAGCCAGCCUUCACAAACAACAUGUGUUGUGUCAGAAUGGUACUGGAAAUAGAGUAACACUACCUGGUUACUGUGUUUGUUAAAUCAGGGAUAUAUUUCCAGAUAGUUUCAACUUUCAUGUACACAUGAUUUAUGCAAAACAGGUUUAACAAAUGGCAAUAUUUCCUGUUGUCAACAAGUAGAUUCUUAUUCCUAAAUUA